UACGGAGGGUGCGAGCGUUGUCCGGAAUCACUGGGCGUAAAGCGCGCGUAGGCGGACCUGCAAGUCGGGGGUGAAAGCCCGAGGCUCAACCUCGGAACUGCCUUCGAUACUGCGGGUCUCGAGUCCGGGAGAGGUGAGUGGAAUUCCUAGUGUAGAGGUGAAAUUCGUAGAUAUUAGGAAGAACACCAGUGGCGAAGGCGGCUCCACUGGCCCGGUACUGACGCUGAGGCGCGAAAGCGUGGGGAGCAACAGG
rnacentral:rRNA from 1 species